GGGCCGUUAGCUCAGGUGGUAGAGCAGUUGCCUUUUAAGCAACGGGUCGCCGGUUCGAGUCCGGCACGGCUCACCA
rnacentral:tRNA from 1 species